CGCCCCCUAUACGUCAUCAUUGAGUAAACUUUGACCCGGAAUCUCACAGUCAGCAGACACUUCCUGGGAGGGAGGGUCUGCUGCUGAUUGGGUGGAAUGUGUCUGCUGGCUGUGAGGUUCCGGGUCAAAGUUUACUCAAUGAUGACGUAUAGGGGGCG
rnacentral:miRNA from 1 species